rnacentral:piRNA from 1 species
UAUUAUGGACUUUUUAACUUG